GACCCCAAAAGGUGAGGGGUCAGAGACCCGUGUCAGGAGGUGUCUCAAGGCUUGAAGCCAUCUCCAAGUCAAGGGGCAAAGUUUAUUGCAAUUGUAAUGCCAAUUGCUGCGGCUGAGUUCCAAACCGGUGUAGCAAAGAACCAGGAGCAAGGAGACAGAUUUAUAAGACACUUUGCAUAGAGUGUACAGUAGGAGGAGACUGGUGCUGCUUUCACACAGGAGGCUGAAAACCAGUAUCAAGAGACUUGCGUGGCUGGGAUGAAAUGGCUACGAUGGUGCCUUCUCACCUCAUCAUAUCAGCAGGAGACUCAAAUCUUGUCUUCCAUUGGAGGCUGGAGAUCAGACGAGAUAUUCAAGGCCUGAUGGUAGCAUAGAAUUAGCCGAGUCAAGCGCCGAAGGGCCGGUGCUU